CACAGUGCCACCCCUUUGCCUUUUCUGCCCUGCCCAUCCCUCCUGAAGAGUCUGUAAUCAUCCAACAAGGCACUCCAGUUAAAGGACUCAUCCCACCAGGGGACCCCACUACCCCAGAAGGACCUUUUCCCAUCUCAUCAGUUGUCUGGCCUUCUAGUUCCAGAGCCUCAUACCUGCUGUAGAAGACUAUGUCCAGUCUCUCUUCUAAAACUCCACCUGGCUCUGUGGACUACUACCUCCUCCUCACACAUGUUCUGAGGAAAGAUCAGAAGAAUUGAACUGCACCACAGCUGAGUAACAUCUUCAAAACUUCAAGUGAAAGAAACAAGAAUGUCCUUAACUCUAAUCUUGUAAGGAACUCACUAAGAACAAACUGCAAGGCCAACAUUUUAUGAUACAGUGUGUCUUAGGAAACAAGAUGAAGCAGCUUUGGUUUCCAGUGAAAUGGAAGGAUAGCAGCAGGUCUACAGGAAGAAUUCAAGAUGCUUGCCAUAAUCCAUCUACCACAUACAGCAAACCAGGAUUUUUUCCAGGUUUAUUCAGAGCUAAUGGAAGUCUGCAACAUACAGUGAAACGUUUGUCUUGAACACCCCAUGGUGAUUUUAAUGGAGGAACAGUUGUUCACAAAGAAUCUCAAAUAACACCACGAAGCAGUGUGUUGCCAGCCACUUGGAUGGACUAUCCUAUGGAAUACCAUUGUGGGCCAAGGAACUACCCUUUUCUCUCCUUACUCAGCUCUCUGUGGAACAAGAUACAUGCAGAGGCUGAGAAAAAAAACCCCAGGGCCUAUCCACGACUUUACUUGUCUGCUACAAAAUGUGCAACCAGCUUCCUGGAUCUUGAGAUGUGCGGAAUGGAGUCCCCCAAGCUAUUUCAGGGAAGGGGACCUAAAGCCGGGACUAACACCUCACCUCGCUCUGUACAUAGAGCCUCAAAUUUCCUUCCUCUGAGCUGCACCGCAAACAUGUCCAAAUGAAGUUAAACAAAUGUUUGAACCAAUACAGGAAAGGGAUUUUAGGCAGAAAAGAGAAAUAUAGAUGUACACCAUGUGCCA